rnacentral:tRNA from 1 species
UUAGCUCAAUGGUUGAGCAUUGGUUUUUUUAGAGCCGCAGGUCGGUGGUUCGAACCCACCA